UUUCGUUGUCAGUUGGUAUUGACUGGUACAGCAGCCGUGAAGAUUUGAAUGAACGGUCUUUUUUCUCUCUUUUGUAGGCUCAUGGAAACCAGUUGUAUAUGAGCCUACCUGCUCCUGAGAUCUGAGGCAGACAGCAAAGAUCUUCCUAGCUGGGGAACUGCAGGUAGAAGGAAAUCAUAGACAAAAUGUCCCCCAUGAUUCACAUUCCAGUGUGGCUUUGAACCAUGACCAGGUGGAGGUUG